GACAGGACUAUAUAAGGAGCGAUUUAGGAUCGCAUCAUCGCCCUUAGCUCGCAUUUCCUGCGUAGUUUGGAUUGGGGAGUCGGUUGCCGAUGCACCAAUCGAAGCGGCUCCUAGCGGCCGGAGGCGGCGGCAGAAGGAGCAGCGACGGCGGAUUCCGUUCUCCCGUCCUGCUGCUUCUCUUCCUCUUUGUUCUCGCUCCUUCGCUCUUCUUUGCGGCACGUGGCAGCAUCCGCGCCGCCCCCAUCUCUCCCGAAAUGCAACUCUAUUUUGCCUUGUAUCUCACCUUCAAACUCUUCUACCGAGUUCAUAUUGGAGAGAACAGUACCUGUUGACUGCCUUUGGAAUAUGUGCUCACUGAUUGCUGGUUUUACUUCAUUUGCUUUUUCUUAGUCUGAGACAAGCCGUGGAUUCGACCAAGCAGUGGCUGGGCAUAUGGGAUGAAUACUUUUUACCUUAAGGAGUGGAAGAAGAAAGAUAUAACUCGUAUUUAUCACAAGUGGCAGAAAAUGAAUGAAGAGAGUGCUGUGGAAACUGGGGACACUUCCUCCAGGACUACUCGCGUUUUAUAAACUGACACACACGCUGGACAAAUCAUGGCAUGUUCUUGGCUUGGGUUAUAACCCUAGCAUUGAUCACUCAGAUACAAAAUGCUGCUGUAGUCCAUUAUAAUGGGAACAUGAAACCAUGGUUGGAGAUGGCAAUGACCAAGUACAGAACAUAUUGGACCAAGUACAUCAUGUAUGAUCACCCUUAUAUUACGGGAUGCAAGCUAAGCGAAUAGGAAGAAUUAGAAAGUGUAGUCAGAAAACAGCUGCAGCUCUUUUGCUCGAGAAGUUAAUCUGGAGUAAGCUGGAGAUUGUGAAGGGUUCUUCGACCUCAUAUUGCCUUAUCUUAUGAAUUAUCUUUGAAAUCCAUGAUGUCAUUCUCACCUGUCUUGUAAACUUUCCCUUAUUGUUUGU